UCCAUGGAUUCCCUCUGCCGAGGAGGGGGGAGUCGCCCGAGAGGAAGAGGAGGAGAGGCUCCCGAUCCUUUUGCGUAGCUCAUCGCCUGUGGCUCUGGCUUGUGAAAGAAGGAAAAAGUGGCUUCUUUGCCUGAAGGAAGGGAACUGGCCCGUUUCCUAGUUUGUGCAAAGACAGCCUUUCCCAUAUGAGUGCCUUCCAGAUAAUGAAUGGACUUCAGCUCUCAGCAUUCCUGUGAACCCUGCUGGCUGGAGCCAAAACAAAACAUCCAGAUGACACCAGGGUGAGCUACUCAGUUCAACAAAAAGUCAUUUCCCUUUUUGUUUGGGGGAAAGGGCUACAAGACUUCCAGGUGGAAUAAAGAUGUGGAGAGCAGACCUUACAUGUAUAUCCCUAUCUCAGUGACCCUUUGAACCCUACACGUUUUUGGGAUGAACCCAAGAGCCAACAAUCCUGUGUGGUAGAGGUCCCACCUACACCCAAUAACUGCAUAAUAAAGUUAAUAUGGACUUUUGGAGACUACCAUAGAUGAUCCGCUUUGUUAUUCUGUUAAGUGAGUAAUGUGGAUAUGGAUAAAUACAGCACACUUUUUAAAGGGAUGUUUAGUCUACAUUUUGUGGGUGGAAAUUAAAUCCCUUCCAGUGAAAGAACUUGGUUUUUAUUGUGGUUUGUCGUGCUAGUUGUCAUUGCGUUACAGGUUGACAUAAAGUUACAUCACCAGUGACAUAAAUUUCCUGCUCUCUCUCCUAAUUUUACUGUUUUCUUUCAUCUUCAUGUUUGUGUUAAAAUUACCCUGGUAUGAGUAAGCACCAGCCUAUGACUCUUUCCAGAGGUUAAUAUGAGCAAUCUACAA